rnacentral:misc_RNA from 1 species
GCUUAUUAUCCUUUCUAACAGCCUGGAAUUUCAAACAAAAAUGUAAUCCUAGGUCAACUUAUAAAUUACAAAACCAAGUGUAGUUUGAUAUAAUUAAAGAUGUAGAGAUGAGAUAUAUAAGCUCUAAAUGUUAUGUGAGUUAGAGAAAGUAGAAGAGCAAAUAAGGGAAAGCAAUACAAGCCAGACAAAUGAAACUUAUUAUACAGGCCUGGCAAUAGCUUUAGUAAUCUAGUCAAACUUCUGUGGCAUGGCAUCCUUUUCAAAAAUGGCCAGGUAAGAAUUAACGCUAGUGAGACCUGGUAGUAAUUGCAUAUGCAUUUUGUUAUUAGUUAUAGCACUUAAGCGUUAACACAAUACAUAGAUAGCUAACACGCAUCAACAUUUAAGAAAUAAGCACAAAUCAUGGAAAAAGUUACAUACUUCUGAAAAAUCAAAUGUUCAAACACAAUCAUGACCAUAAGAUCAUCAACAGGAGUCAUAAAUUUGUGCUGGUAGUCUCUCAAAAAAUGCAUGAACAGAAAGAAAUAAAAGAAUGAAAAUACACAGAAUAAAUCCUUUGAAAACCCAUGAUGAAAUUAUUGCUUUCUAUAAUCUCCUUACAUCAUAUUGACUUAAAAUAAACAUGGAGAAAUUGUUACAUAAUCAUUCAUUACCAAAACCAUAAUUCAACCAAGCAAGGACUUCAAUAAUGAACAUUAGAGAUAUAAAGAUAAGUCAGGAAAGAUAAGUAUUUACUGAACCAACCUCCUUAAUGUCAUCAACUGUGU